UACGUAGGGUGCGAGCGUUAUUCGGAUUCACUGGGCGUAAAGCGCGCGUAGGCGGUUUUGCAAGUCGGGGGUGAAAGCCCGAGGCUCAACCUCGGAACUGCCCUCGAUACUGCAAAUCUCGAGUCCGAGAGAGGUGAGUGGAAUUCCUAGUGUAGAGGUGAAAUUCGUAGAUAUUAGGUAGAACACCAGUGGCGAAGGCGGCUCACUGGCUCGGUACUGACGCUGAGGCGCGAAAGCGUGGGGAGCAAACAGG
rnacentral:rRNA from 1 species